rnacentral:rRNA from 1 species
CAGCCGCCGCGGUAAUACGUAGGGUGCAAGCGUUAAUCGGAAUUACUGGGCGUAAAGCGUGCGCAGGCGGUUUGUUAAGACGGAUGUGAAAUCCCCGGGCUCAACCUGGGAACUGCAUUUGUGACUGGCAAGCUAGAGUGUGGCAGAGGGGGGUGGAAUUCCGCGUGUAGCAGUGAAAUGCGUAGAUAUGCGGAGGAACACCGAUGGCGAAGGCAGCCCCCUGGGCCAACACUGACGCUCAUGCACGAAAGCGUGGGGAGCAAACAGGAUUAGAUACCCGGGUAGUCCCUGUCUCUUAUAC